rnacentral:rRNA from 1 species
GCCGCGUGUGUGAAGAAGGCCUUCGGGUUGUAAAGUACUUUCAGUCGUGAGGAAGGCGGUGUCGUUAAUAGCGGCGUUGUUUGACGUUAGCGACAGAAGAAGCACCGGCUAACUCCGUGCCAGCAGCCGCGGUAAUACGGAGGGUGCGAGCGUUAAUCGGAAUUACUGGGCGUAAAGCGCAUGCAGGUGGUUUGUUAAGUCAGAUGUGAAAGCCCGGGGCUCAACCUCGGAAUAGCAUUUGAAACUGGCAGACUAGAGUACUGUAGAGGGGGGUAGAAUUUCAGGUGUAGCGGUGAAAUGCGUAGAGAUCUGAAGGAAUACCGGUGGCGAAGGCGGCCCCCUGGACAGAUACUGACACUCAGAUGCGAAAGCGUGGGGAGCAAACAGGAUUAGAUACCCC